rnacentral:rRNA from 1 species
UACGAAGGGGCUAGCGUUGUUCGGAAUUACUGGGCGUAAAGCGCGCGCAGGCGGUUCUACAAGUCAGUGGUGAAAGCCCGGAGCUCAACUCCGGAACUGCCAUUGAAACUGCAGAACUUGAGGAUGAGAGAGGUGAGUGGAAUUCCCAGUGAGAGGGUGAAAAUUCGUAGAUAUUGGGAAGAACACCGGUGGCGAAGGCGGCUCACUGGCUCAUUUCUGACGCUCAGGCGCGACAGCGUGGGGAUCAAACAGG